UUCCUUCAUGACUUGGGUAAUGCCAUCUUGAUACGAAAACAGUGUUGCGUGAGUUGUAAAAAACAACAUUUUGUUUAGAUUACGCUAGCAGAAAUUGCGUUGUUUUGUUUUGACAAGAGACUACGUAACGAAUACGGUAGAGUGAAAUAAUUAUAUAUUAAGAGUUUUAUUUACGAGCUCAUUCAUUCCCGUGAGCCACAUUUUUUUCAGUAAGAGAAACGCUGCUGUUGGUGGCGUUAACAAAGGAAUAUUUGGAUCCGAGCAGUCUUUUAUUGGUAAUGCUAUUAGCUUUUUUCUCACCACUAUAAAGAGGUUAAUUAUAAUCCGCGCUUUAUUUCUGUCAUUAAAUGAUCAAGUAAGGCGAUCUUUAACCGUUGCUAAGCAAUAACCGUUCGCCAGGAGUCGAUAGUGCGCACGGUCGACGGCUCACGUUACGGUGUUUUGUUUCCGUGAGCAGCUCGAUUGAAGAGAGAUGGCCGAGAUGUACAUUCGUGUCGCAGAGGAGGAGAACGAGGAGCCGAUGGAGAUCCCAUCGGAGGACGACGGCACGGUACUGCUGUCCACGGUCGCCGCGCAGUUUCCAGGCGCGUGCGGCCUGCGAUACCGGAGCCCCGUGUCUCAGUGCAUGAGGGGUGUGCGGCUGGUGGACGGAAUUUUGCACGCUCCCGAGAACGGCUGGGGAAACCUGGUCUAUGUGGUCAAUUAUCCUAAAGAAACCGUUCUGCCAGAUAAUAAAAGGAAGAUGGAAGAGAUCGAUGCUUCAUCUGCAACAAAAAUCAAGAGAGGAGACCAGAAAACUUCAGAUCUGAUCGUGUUGGGUUUGCCAUGGAAAACUUCAGAACAAGAUUUAAAGGACUACUUCAGUACGUUUGGGGACGUCAUCAUGGUGCAGGUCAAGCGGGAUGUAAAAACUGGAAAUUCUAAAGGAUUUGGAUUUGUAAGGUUUGCAGAGUGGGAAUGUCAGACUAAGGUGAUGUCACAGCGGCACAUGAUUGAUGGCAGGUGGUGUGACUGCAAACUACCAAACUCCAAGCAAGGUCUCGAUGAACCAAUGAGGAGCAGGAAAGUGUUUGUGGGCCGUUGCACAGAGGACAUGAGUGCUGAUGAGCUCCGUCAGUUCUUCAUGCAGUACGGGGAGGUCACGGACGUCUUCAUUCCCAAACCCUUCAGGGCAUUUGCCUUCGUCACCUUUGCGGACGACCAAGUGGCCGCUGCGCUGUGCGGAGAGGAUCUGAUCAUCAAAGGAGUCAGCGUCCACAUCUCUAACGCAGAGCCGAAACACAACAACACCAGACAGAUGAUGGAGCGGGCGGGACGCUUCGGCAACGGGUUCGGGGGACAGGGUUUCGGAGGGAACCGUGGCGCCAUGGGGGGUAGCUCCAGCAGUUUGGGGAAUUUCGGAAAUUUCAACCUCAACCCGGCCAUGAUGGCAGCAGCCCAGGCCGCCCUGCAGAGCAGCUGGGGCAUGAUGGGAAUGUUAGCUCAGCAGAAUCAGUCGGGGACGUCCGGCGCCAACACGAGCGGCACGGCCUCCACUCGGGACCAGCCCCAAACGUACAGCUCCGGAAACAGCAACUACGGCAGCACCUCAGCCGCUCUCGGUUGGGGCUCCGGGUCCAACUCGGGGACUGGCGGUAGUGGGUUUAACUCGAGCUUUGGUACUAGUAUGGAGUCUAAGUCGUCGGGGUGGGGUAUGUAAGCCGUGUUUCGUUUUCGAUGAGUUUGUAUUUUUAGUGUGUUUGGUAAGUAUUUCUCCAAGAGACUUAUCUCGUCACGUGUGUUUGGGAGCGGGGAUGGGUGAUAAAGGAGCCUGGGGACAAAAACAGACUGUUUUGUACAACGAAUGCAGUUGAAUUUAGUGUUUGGAGUGAGAUCUGGGUGUUACAUUAAUGUGUACCAUCUUUGAUGUUAUGUUUCCCCCAAUGUUGUAUUGUCUUAGUUGACGCAACCGAAGCAUUUCAACUGGAUUCUUAUAAUGCAUGUUGUUAAGUCUGUGAUACUUGUAAUAAAAUGCAUGAGAAUUGCAUCAUCGUUUAAAGACAUUUAUGUUAGAUAAAAGAAAGAAACUUGCAUUUGAAAGAAUCUGGUUGAAACCUGCAAACUAUUUGAGCUUUAUUUCAGUCCAGUUUUAUGGAAAUGCUUUCAAACAAGCCUUCAUCAAAAUCUCUUCUGCAGUUGACAUCUGUGGGGUUUGCCUGGGAAGAGCGCCCUCUAUGGCAGCACAGUGUGGCUGAGGUCAUUAUCUCUCACCUUCCUCCCCAUGUCUGUAUGCUUUCAUCGCACGGCUCGAUGACACGGGGCCUGGAAUAUGGCUGGCAGCCACUGAACCCCAGGCGGGAAGUCCGUUUGGGGAUGGAAGAAGAUGGAGGAUGUUGUGGUACCCCAUUACAGCAAUAGCAUCUCUGGUAACAGCCAUGGACACGGUAGAAGGUGGCAGGAAUGAUAGGUGCAUUCUAAUGAGGAACCAUGUUUAGUUCAAUGCUUGUUUUUCUGAAGUCUUGCUGAACAUUAGCCAUGAUGCAGUAAGGCCAGGGUGACCGUAAUUGCCAUUUUUCCUGGAAGUCGCAUUGGUCGAUCGCAUAAGUCAGCGAGGUUUGAUAUUUCAGGUUUUAUUUUAAAAAAGCAACUGUUAACAUUUCAAGGUAAGAAUAAAACUACAAUGAUUAUAUGUCUUAAGAGAAAUAAACCUUAAUUUUAUGUUUUUAACUGAAAUGCAAGUACCACAAAAGCGACUUUUGGAGUACACACCCCAAAUCUUGGCCAGGAUGUGUCCAGGGAAUAUGGCACGUAUGGUCAACCUAAAUUAGGCUCAAUCUGGCUCCAAGAAAGUAGACAAAUUUUCUUUAAUUGAAACAUCUUCAAGUAUUUUUACAAUAUCUACAUUGUUUUAUAAAGCUUUCUAUAGUUUCCUAAAGAACAGAAAUGUUUUCAGGAUUCUUCAAUAAAACACACAACCAGACA